GACUACAAGGGUAUCUAAUCCUGUUUGCUCCCCACGCUUUCGCGCCUCACCGUCAGUUAUCGUCCAGUAAUCCGCCUUCGCCACUGGUGUUCUUCCUUAUAUCUACGCAUUUCACCGCUACACAAGGAAUUCCGAUUACCUCUCCGACACUCAAGGGAAACAGUUUCAAAUGCAGUUCACGGGUUGAGCCCGUGGAUUUCACAUCUGACUUGUCUCUCCGGCUGCACGCCCUUUACACCCAGUAAAUCCGGACAACGCUUGCCACCUACGUAUUACCGCGGCUGCUGGCACGUAGUUAGCCGUGGCUUAUUCAAGGGGUACCGUCUUCUGCUCUUCCCCCUUAAAAGAAGUUUACAACCCGAAAGCCUUCUUCCUUCACGCGGCGUUGCUGGGUCAGACUUGCGUCCAUUGCCCAAUAUUCCCCACUGCUGCCCCCCGUAGG
rnacentral:rRNA from 1 species